AAUGGACUGAGUUUAUUGGUCAAGAAAUGGACUUAGUUAUUAGCUUUGUCUACGGAAGGAAGAAAUCGGGAUCAGAGGGAACAGCCAUCAGGACCAGAGGGGAGCCAGGGGAGGAUCAGAGAUCAGGCGAGAGGCAAGCUGGGAGGAGAAGCGGUGGUCCAGAGAGGGGAGGAGACGACAGGCAGAGAGUAGCGGCAGCACCACAGUCGGCCACAAGAGGGGGCGCACAGCUGAUGUAGACCAGAGCGAGCCAAAGAUGGGUAUCCAGCAGCGCAGAGGGAGGGAGAGGGAUUGCAAACAGUAUCGAAGGGCCAUCGCCAUAGCAUCUAAAGUCGUUAGGAGAGCGUUUGGCGUGAUGUGUGAGUGUGUGAAAUUCCCCAUCGGGUCACCCGUCCUGUUGUUGACCAAGUCUGAUUGCCGCUGAGAUGAGUGCCAGUUUAUCAACUCUACACCCGUGCUGCGUUCAGAUGUAGUCUCCCAGGCGGAAAAGGCGUCCUUUUGUUCUACUUAAAAUCCAAUAGGUCUAUCGCAAGAGGCAUUCCACGUUGAAGGUUGUUUGGAGUCGAAGUUUCCUGCGUCCCUAUGCUGCACAGCUACCGCUCUACUGCACAUCCAAGCUGUCCAUCUUGUAAUCAGCCCUGAAGUUGCGGCCUGUCGUUCGCUGCAUCUGUGGUUCCUGGGGAGGGGAGGGACAAGUGCAACCUUUUUUGGAGUGCUUCCUUUCACAGGCCCAGUUUCUCAUGAGCAGUAUCAGCAAAGAGAUCCCCAGAUGUAGUGUGGACCCCAGUAGUUUCAUAUUGUUUACCACAAAGUAAAGAAUGUAAGGCUGCAAGUGAAUCCUCUACUGUUGUGGAUAUUAAAAGGUACAACAUAUUGAACUUUUAAUUUGCAACAAAGUAGCUAUUGUCAUUUGCAAUGAGUCUGUUGACCAAGCUUACACUGUCAUGUACAUCUUACAUUUGUACUUUGAAUUUGGGGAAUUUUGUGGGGGGGGGGGGGUGGGGGGUGCUUUUAAUCGAAUCUCUUCCUAGAAUUCACAGUUUGCAGAGCGGAUUAGGUAGACAUGGCUUGGGUAGCGCUUUUGAGGACGGAGCCUCCAGUGGAUGUGGCCCUUCCUGGCAGCUAGUGCAACAUGUUCGUCUGGGGUGUCAAGCCGCGAGACAGCAAAGAUUCCAAAGGCCUCAAAGUAAACCAAGUUGUUCUAUUUAAAGACCCAAAACCUCAAAACGGGUGGUCCAUCUGUUUAUCGGCCCUAACGGAGCAAAGCUGCUACAUACAGGCAUCACGUGGUUUUAAACAAUUUCAAACGGCAAGUAAUUGGUAUUCUUGUAAAUGAUUGAUUGGUUUAUUAUUGUGCAACUAACUGUACUCCCUUUUGUGUUGCUAUAAUGGUAAAUAAAGUUUGGGACAAUCUCA
rnacentral:lncRNA from 1 species